CUGCGUUGAGCAGGCUGUGCGACAAAGCUCUAUCUCAGGGGCUCCAAGUUCUUCUAUUUUACAUCUGAAUGGCUAUGAUAUUCUACUUGACUACCCAGGAAAGGCAAAUGGAGAGAGCUAUAGUCCGUUGAAGAAAAUGCAUGGCAACCAUUUCUGAGUAUUUGCUUUCAGCCUGGCUUUUCUCCAGGGAAAGCCACAUUUCUCCAGGAUAGCACAAAUGGAUCUCCCUCCCUGUUCAUGUUAUCCUCACAAGAAUCUGAUGGGAUAGAUAGUGAUUGGUUAUCCAGUGAGCGCCAUGUGAAAAUAAGGGAUUUGAAUCAGUCCUAGUCCGGUGUUCUAACUAAUAAACCGUUCUCUGUCCAUAGCCCACUUCCCGUGUUACUCAAAUGAAGAAAGUUGACCCUGCUGUUGUGUGUGCCCAGGUAGCCUGAACUCAAUGCCUGUGGAUUGAGCAGGACUAUCUGCAGUGAGGAAGUUUAUGUGCAUAGGCUUGCCCUAUGCAGUGUCAAUAUACAGUAGGGAUGCUGUGCUGUGAAAGAGCCAGAGCUAGUAUUGUGGCCUUGUUGCCCCUUCUUUGCAGGCUGUCCCUAUAGAAGGGCAGAAGGUCUCAGGUUCCAUCUCUAGGUAGGGCGGAGAAAGGCUGAAAUCCUGGUGGACUCUGGCCAAUCAGAGCAGACAAUACUGAGCUAGGUUGACCAGUGGUCUGACUCCAUAUAUAAGGCAGGUUCCAGUGUUCAUGUGAUUAAUAUGUGAAAAAGUGACAGGAAUGAAUGCAUUUUCACUAGAGCCCCUGUGCCGUAAGGAUUGCUAUGGAGUUGGUGUCUGCAUUAGAGUAAUUAACGGAGUCAGUCAGUGUUCUUGUGGUGAGCAUUUUGGCGCUGGGAUUUCUGUUGGAUGAUCAAGGUGACCAUGAUCUUAUGAUCACGUUGUUAAGCCUACCUCGUGCCACAGUUUUAUUAAUGCACAGUCAAGGAUACUGUGCCUGUAUACAAAGAACCCUGAAAAUUAAGGAUGCUUUUCUCUAUCCAAACAUGGCUUCCUCUGAUAAAUAAUCAGAUUUGAAUUGUGAAUCUGAAAGCUGUCAUCUUCAGAGUUCAUGUCAGCUCUCGUUUCUCUCUCUCCUUAUUCUCUACAUAAUUCUAGCAUAAUAGCGUUAUUGUCACUGUCAUUGUAAACAUAUUUAAAUUGAAUUAAAUCCCAUUGAUUUCAUGGGAGCAUACUGCCAGCUUACUGUGGUGAGAAUUAUUGUGGGGCUUUCUUCUUUUGUAAAUGUUACUAUCUUAAGGAAUUCUAACAGUAUUUAGCUAUUAGUAUUUCAUAUAGAAAAAAGGAAUACAUAAAAAGUUAGUUCGCAGUGAUGCCCAUGGCAUAGUGGCGUUCUUGUUUCCAUUUCUAGUUUGUAGGUGAACUUUCCAAAUUUUGGGUUAUUCCUUGUAUUCUAUUUUACAAAGAAGCAUUUAGGCUGAGAUGCUUUGGAUUAUGAAAAAAUCCUAAUGUCAUCUGUUAAUAAUGGAUGCUACUCGUACAGUCGUUUUAAGCAUUUGUUCUUAAGAUAAUUGUAGAGAAACAAAUGCACAUCCUCCCCCCAGCUCUCCAGCUGUUCUAAUUGAAAGACUUCUAAUUGAAGUAUUCAAACACAGAAAUGCUUACGAAAUUUAGAUCAGCUCUUCUGCACUACAUUCCAAAGAUAAGUGGUUCGAAUAUAUUUGGAAGACCCCUUUUAAACAGAAGCUACCAGUCCUGAGCCUUAUUAGUAGCAGUUAUCAUUGUACAUGAACAGGGACGCAGGUGGCGCUGUGGUCUAAACCACAAAGCCUAGGGCUUGCCAAUCAGAAGGUCGGCGGUUUGAAUCCCCGCGAAAGGGUGAGCUCCUGUUGUUCGGUCCCAGCUCCUGCCCACCCAGCAGUUCGAAAGCACACCAAGUGCAAGUAGAUAAAUAGGUACCGCUCCGGCAGGAAGAUAAACGGUAUUUCCGUGCGCUGCUCUGGUUCGCCAGAAGUGGCUUAGUCAUGCUAGCCACAUGACCCGGAAGCUGUCUGCGGACAACGCUGGCUCCCUCAGCCUAUAGAGCGAGAUGAGCGUCGCAACCCCAGAGUCGUCCGUGACUGGACCUAAUAGUCAGGGGUACCUUUACCUUUAUCAUUAUACAUGACCAUAGGCUUCUGCGCACAUUAGGAGGAAGCAAGGUCCAUUUCCUUGUUUUAUAUCACCUAGUUAAGGCUUUCAGAAACUCUUCUGGCAGGCACUUGACCUGCUGGGUUUGUGCUUUGAGUUGCUGAACCCUUGGGCUGCUGGUGGGUUUGGUGCACCUGGCUAUUCUUUUACUGUUUACAUGGCUUUGGUGUUCUUUUAUUAUUCCAGAUUUCGUUGAUUUUUAAGUGGUUUCAGAAUUGUUAGAAGUCACCCUGUAUGUCCAGUCCCAUAGAAGGGUGGGAUAUAUGGUCUUAAAUAAAUACUAAAUGCUCAUCAAUGGAAGACUACAGCAUCAGGUGUUUGGUUUUGCCUUGUGGGAAAGGGCCUAUGAGAGUUCAAGCACUAGAAAUGCCAAUAAGAUUGGGAUAAAAAAAAAAUCCUGCCAAUCAUUAUGUAUCAUGAAAGGAAUGUUGAGGAAGGUUGGGGUUGUCAGCUUAUUUCAUGACAAGACUCCUAACAUGGGCCUAUCUGCCACAUGCAGCCCACUUUUUUUAUUAAAAAAAUUUAAAGUUAUUUCCAGAAUACAAAGAUUCAGAAUACAAGAACAGGAAACAAAAUAGAGUUACAUCUUGCAAAUGCCCACCUUUUAUUUUUGAUGUCUUCCUGGGACUGCAAGUACAGCAAUAGAGACAUUAAGAUCCUGGCAGACAGUGAAGCAUUUCUGUAUUUCAUGUUGGUGGGAAAUCCGUAGUGCUGGCCUGUUUUAGCUGUGGCAGAAGAGACAGAAAUUUAGGAAGCUGGUAUGGAGAUGAGCUGAUAGGAAAAGCUUCUCCUGCUAAGUUAAAAGGAACAGGAGCUCUACAUGGAAAUUCGUGGUGGGAGGCUAGUUAUAAGAAAUGCCGACUUAAUCAGAGAUUCUCCCAAAGCAUCAGCCUCAUUUUUAGGUCACGAGCAAAUUCUCUUUCAUCGACCAAUGUAGAAUUGCCUUAAUGCAUUAUUAAAUUCAAAAUACCUCCAUGUCAGAUUAGAGGUCAACAUGCUCAUGUUGUUUCCUCAUGCAUUUAGCCUUCGUCUUGCUAAAAAAAAACAUGUACGUAGCUGCUCUUCAAGGCUUUUAAUGGUUUGUUAAAAUGAUCAUACCAUUUAUUUCUCAUGGACUCUUUGGUCACAGAUAAUCCAGUGUGGCUGAAGAGUAAGGAGUAAGUACUAGCUUCACCUGAGACAAAAGCAGCUUAUGAAAAGAUGCAAUUACAGUUUUCAGAUACUGGAGAGCCUCACAUGAAGAGGAGUUGGAACAAUUGUUCUCUCCUUCCUUGAGGAAAGGAUAAGAGGUAAUGAGUUUAAUUUGCAGCUGUGUAAAUUUCAGCUGAAGGUUAGGGGAAACUUAACUAACUGCAGUCGACAGAAAGUGGAACAAGUUACCUGAGGGAAAAGAAAAGGGGGAUACGUAACAAUAAGUAUAAAGAAUACACCAAAAUGAUGCAUUUAAGUACAACACUAGAAAAUGAUCAGCAAACAUAAUGAAAAUAAAAUUGGGAAAGGGUUCUGUAAAUAAAAAGCAUGUAUGUAAAAGAGUAGAUUCUUGGAGCAUGCCUUAUCUCAUAUGGUGAUGAAUUCCACAUAAAAGGGGCCACAUCACUGAGCACACGGCUACUAGAUCCAAGGUGAAUAAUAAGAGCUCUUGAUAUCACCUGGAAGUCUACCAUGUAUCACAGCAGGCAAGCAGGAGCUAUAAGAAGAGGGGUGGUCUCUCAAGUUGCCAUUGUCCCAACUUGCUUGGAGCUUCAUAAAUAAGUAGCAUACACCUUGAUCCUGGUCCAGUAGUGUAUAGGCAGCUAGUGAGGCUUCUUCAGCAAAAGUGCAAUGUGUUGCUGAUGGUUAUAGCUAGACAACGACUAACCAGCUUCUGGACCAACCUCAAAGGCAGCCCCACAUGGAGCCUAUUGAAGUAAGGAAGAGUUGAAGUUACCAGUGCAUGUUAGAAGACAAAGUAUUCCCUCAGGCCUUCAAAGCAGCCCCUUUGCCAUCCAGUGAAGAUAGGCUGCGCUGAGCUGGUGCAGCAAGCAGAGCUGGCACAGCCUAUGCAAGGUAGGUUGUGCCAGCCUCGAGUACCCCCACUUCGAAUCUCACCCCAUCCCUGUUCUCCAUUGUCCGAAACAAAAGAUUUUCCAAGGACAGGAGAGACUUGCCCUAUACAGUGAACUAUUGCCUAGAAAUGGUUAAAUCUGAGCUGGAUAGUACUUGCUAGCAAUAUGUAUGGUUGUUGUAAUUCCUGUGUUUGCUUGUGACAUUUGUAUCGCAGCUCUUUAAUCCCUAGAGACAAAGCAAAUAGUGUUGUCUUACGCAGCAUCAUUUCUAUCAUUAAUGCGCCAUUCAGGACUAUGGCAUUGUGGGGGCAUCCCCUUCCUGGCUGGGAAUGAGUGAUAACUAUAUUUAAACUUGGUCUUCCUGUUGCAGUUUUUCUUUUUUUCUUUUCCAGGCAUGUGAUUUAUUUUAUUUUUUUUAAGGGGGGAAAAAACAUUCUGAGUCAGUAGUUCAUUCGGGGCAGAUUGUUAGCGGAUAAAGAUCCGUAUUGUAUGAACUGCUGCUUUUUGAACAGCUUCAGAGUUUUACUUGGACAUGUGGAGUAAUAUAUCAGGAGGGAACCACAGGAGUGACUGCUGUGAAUGGGAAUUUGACAAUACGCUUCUCAGCUCGUCAGCUUUCGCUGCUGUGGGAUUCUGUAUGUUCUGUCUUUUCGCAUUAAACAUCUCUUGUGCAUGGGCAAAGCCAGGAUUUAUUUUAGGGGAGGCAGGCUUCAUGGUUUUUGGGGGGAGCAGAACCAAGUUAUCUGUGACACAAGUGGUCAGUUAGUUUAGUAUUUUUAUUUAUUUGCUUGAUUUGGGAGUGGGCAGCUGCCCCCCCCCAGCUAUGCCUAUGCUCUUGUGUACUGAUCACUCAUGUGAACUUUGUCAAAUGCAAAAGCAGCUAGCCGUUUGUGGCAUACAAAAUAAACCAUGUGAGGGCAAGAAACACAAGUGCCUUAAAAAAACCCCUCUCUCUUGCACAUAACAGGGAACAACGUAAGGUCUCUACAUAUGGCUAAACCACCAACCAGUUUUAAUGUAAUUCUCCCAAAGUUAAUUCUCUUUUUCCGCCCGCCAUCUUCCCCACUCUUCUCCUCGUGUUAGGAUGCUGUGAUAUGUACUCAUGUUCCAUGUAUUGUUAGUUCCUAAUUCCCUUCACUUCAACAUGGGCUGCAACAUAGGAUUUGACACAGGCCUUUCUUUAGUAGGAAAAGGACGGACAAGAGUACAUAAUAAAGGGAAGGCUCUACUAAGGAUUUUGUUAUUGUUCUGACUGGGAAGGAGAAUGAGCUUUGUCUAGGUUUGUCCUGCGGAAAGCAGCCGAGGCACAUAAUUAAGGGUGGCCCUUGGCACCUAUGGCUUUGCUAGGGACUAUAUAGGAAGCACCUGGUGACUGACUUGAAGGCCUCCCCAGCUGCCAGUUGCGUAUCCUUGUUGCAUUUAUUUCAUUGCGAAGUAGUGGAGAUUUUCCACCCUCUUUGUGCCAACAGUGGGUGAAUGAAGGGAGGAGCAAGAGGCGAAGCAAUGCACUUGCUUUGGACGUGCUUUUCAGAACUGUUAUUUCAGUGUGUGGUAUUGAAACAUACAUAUAUAAAAAAAAUGAAUGCAACCAGAAACACUGCACCAUUGUUAUUGUUCAUGUAUUAAAUUUUAUUCAUAGUUUGCCAUUGGGGCAAUUAUAUCAGAGAGCCAGUGUGGUGUAGUGGUUAAGAGCGGUAGAUUCGUAAUCUGGGGAACUGGGUUCGCGUCUCCGCUCCUCCACUUGCAGCUGCUGAGUGACCUUGGGCCAGUCACUCAGCCUCACUCACCUCACAGAGUGUUUGUUGUGGGGGAGGAAGGGAAAGGAGAAUGUUAGCCGCUUUGAAACUCCUUCGGGUAGUGAUAAAGCAGGAUAUCAAAUCCAAACUCUUCUUCUUCUAUUUGAAACAGCUAUGAAAGAUCGCAAACUCUAAAGAUAGGUCUAUUUCCCAAAAGUCCCAUUGGGUACUGUCAUGGAAGGCUUAGAGCACACACACCAAUCAUGGAGCAAGGCAAGAACUUCUCUCAAACAAGGACAGAACAGCAACCACACCCACCUAUAGCUAAGUCCAGCGCCAUUUGGUGACUUAGGUAUAUAAUGACAAUAUUCAGACAGGCACAUGUACAUAAUUUAAACAUAUAAUUAAUAAUUAACAUGCACUCCCAAAAGAGUAAAACGGAAGAUUAAACCCACAGGGAGUUAAAGCCUACAGAGAAUCAAAAUCUUAUACACAGGCAGUCCACACACCCCAUCCGUUCCUUGAGGAAUAAUGUUUCAUGAAGGUCAAGGAAGAUCUGCCAUUUGAGAUGUUCUUGUGACAUUGCAGUUUGUGUACUGCAUUGUGGUUGAGAGGCUUCACAAUUCUACAUGGUGGGGGAGUUAAUUGAAUCAUAGUCUGCUGACGGAAGUAUGAACAACGGACUGCAUUUAGAACAGAUGGUGUUCAGCAGCCCACUGAGCACCAUGGCUCUUCUGGAAAGCGGGAGGCAAAUGCCUGCAUGCUUGUUCAGCCAUCAGUAAAGAACCAUGUUGAUAGCUGUCAGGGAAGCAGAAGGAAGGGGCAGAAGACUUAGAUCCAAGUCCAUUUUGCAGCUGACGGGAAGAGACAAUAGUGACAGCGUGUCAGGAGAAUAAUAUGGAUCACUGCGGAUGGGGGUGAAGGCAGCUCCAUCUUUUCCUGUAUAUGUUAGGUCCCUGAGAUAUCAGAUCCUGAAUGUCAGAAAAGUGUGAUGGCUGACUUAAGUAUGUGUGCUAAACCGGGAUGCUGCUUUAAUGUAUUUUGAAAUUUAGCAUUGUACCGUUGGGUGCCAUGAAGGACGUUGGUUUUAGAUUCUGCACGUGAUGGUCUUAUGAGGCUACCCUUCUUUGAAAUGUGGUAAGCCAGCCCUCUGGUGCUUGGUGGGGUGGGUGGUUCCUGUUCAUUCUGCUGAGUGUGGCCCUGAACUUUUUCUCCAAAGUCCUACUCUGAUGGCACCACCACUUCUUUGAACAAUGGAUGCAUUCGUUUGAUCUAACCAGGUGAAACUGACCCAAAAUCUUUGGUGGACAUGGUAGAAAUAAAACACAAGUGAGCAUUAAGAAUAGCCUUGCAGAAAUAGAUCGCAAUUCCGCCUAAUCCAGAGGUGGGCAGAUGGUAGACUGGGAUUUACUGGUAAAUUUUUAGGUGAUACGCGGUAGAUUGACAUUGGGCUUUGACUCUCAGCUGUUUAACAAUGGCAACAACAGGAUUUUCCCUGUCUAGAUUUGGCUGCUGAAAUGAAGGAAGCUGAUCAGGAGUGGAGUUUUUUUGUGAAAGGACAGUGAGCUCAGUUAGAUUCUGGUACUG